AUUGAACGCUGGCGGCAGGCCUAACACAUGCAAGUCGAACGAGUGGCGGACGGGUGAGUAAUGUCUGGGAAACUGCCUGAUGGAGGGGGAUAACUACUGGAAACGGUAGCUAAUACCGCAUACCAUCGGAUGUGCCCAGAUGGGAUUAGCUAGUAUGUGGGGUAAAGGCUCACCUAGGCGACGAGCCCUAGCUGGUCUGAGAGGAUGACCAGCAAAACUGGAACUGAGACCCGGUCCAGACUCCUACGGGAGGCAGCAGUGGGGAAUAUUGCACAAUGGGCGCAAGCCGGAUGCAGCCCUGCCGCGUGUAUGAAUAAGUCCUUCGGGUUUUAAAGUACUUUCAGCGGGUAGGCGUUACCCGCAGAAGAAGCACCGGCUAACUCCGUGCCAGCAGCCGCGGUAAUAC
rnacentral:rRNA from 1 species